UACGUAGGGCGCAAGCGUUGUCCGGAAUUAUUGGGCGUAAAGAGCUCGUAGGCGGUUUGUCGCGUCUGUCGUGAGAGCUUGGGGCUUAACCCCAAGUCUGCGGUGGAUACGGGCAGACUAGAGGCAGGUAGGGGAGAACGGAAUUCCCGGUGUAGCGGUGAAAUGCGCAGAUAUCGGGAGGAACACCGGUGGCGAAGGCGGUUCUCUGGGCCGGUACUGACGCUGAGGAGCGAAAGCGUGGGGAGCAAACAGG
rnacentral:rRNA from 1 species